rnacentral:rRNA from 1 species
GAUGAACGCUGGCGGCGUGCCUAAUACAUGCAAGUCGAGCGAACAGAUGAGGAGCUUGCUCCUCUGACGUUAGCGGCGGACGGGUGAGUAACACGUGGAUAACCUACCUAUAAGACUGGGAUAACUUCGGGAAACCGGAGCUAAUACCGGAUAAUAUAUUGAACCGCAUGGUUCAAUAGUGAAAGACGGUUUUGCUGUCACUUAUAGAUGGAUCCGCGCCGCAUUAGCUAGUUGGUAAGGUAACGGCUUACCAAGGCAACGAUGCGUAGCCGACCUGAGAGGGUGAUCGGCCACACUGGAGCUGAGACACGGUCCAGACUCCUACGGGAGGCAGCAGUAGGGAAUCUUCCGCAAUGGGCGAAAGCCUGACGGAGCAACGCCGCGUGAGUGAUGAAGGUCUUCGGAUCGUAAAACUCUGUUAUUAGGGAAGAACAAAUGUGUAAGUAACUAUGCACGUCCUGACGGUACCUAAUCAGAAAGCCACGGCUAACUACGU